GCACCGGUAGCUCAAUUGGAUAGAGUACCUGGCUACGGACCAGGAGGUUUGAGGUUCGAUCCCUCACCGGUGCA
rnacentral:tRNA from 1 species